rnacentral:rRNA from 1 species
CGGUGCGAUCAUACCCGCACUAAUGCAUCAGAUCCAAUCAAAGCUCCCCAGUUAAGCAUGCUUGGGAAAGAGUAAUACUAGGAUGGGUGACAUCCUAGGAAGUCCUCGUGUUGCACCCU